rnacentral:rRNA from 1 species
GCAUAUCAAUAAGCGGAGGAAAAGAAACUAACAAGGAUUCCCCCUAGUAACUGCGAGUGAAGCGGGAAAAGCUCAAAUUUAAAAUCUGGUGGUCUUUGGCCAUCCGAGUUGUAAUCUAGAGAAGUGUUACCCGCGUCGGACCGUGUACAAGUCUCCUGGAAUGGAGCGUCAUAGAGGGUGAGAAUCCCGUCUUUGACACGGACUACCGAGGCUUUGUGGUGCGCUCUCAACGAGUCGAGUUGUUUGGGAAUGCAGCUCAAAAUGGGUGGUAAAUUCCAUCUAAAGCUAAAUAUUGGCGAGAGACCGAUAGCGAACAAGUACCGUGAGGGAAAGAUGAAAAGAACUUUGGAAAGAGAGUUAAACAGUACGUGAAAUUGCUGAAAGGGAAACGCUUGAAGUCAGUCGCGUUGGCCGGAAAUCAGCCUUGCUUUUGCUGGGUGUACUUUCUGGUUGACGGGCCAGCAUCAGUUUUGACCGGUGGAAAAAGUUCAAGGGAAUGUGGCAUCUUCGGAUGUGUUAUAGCCCUUGUUCGUAUACAUCGGUUGGGACUGAGGAACUCAGCACGCCGAAAGGCCGGGUCUUUGACCACGUUCGUGCUUAGGAUGCUGGCAUAAUGGCUUUAAUCGACCCGUCUUGAAACACGGACCAAGGAGUCUAACAUGCCUGCGAGUGUUUGGGUGGAAAACCCGGACGCGUAAUGAAAGUGAAAGUCGAGAUCCCUGUCAUGGGGAGCAUCGACGCCCGGACCAGAAGUUUUCUGACGGCCCUGCGGUAGAGCAUGUAUGUUGGGACCCGAAAGAUGGUGAACUAUGCCUGAAUAGGGUGAAAGCCAGAGGAAACUCUGGUGGAGGCUCGUAGCGAUUCUGACGUGCAAAUCGAUCGUCAAAUUUGGGUAUAGGGGCGAAAGACUAAUCGAACCAUCUAGUAGCUGGUUCCUGCCGAA